UACGAAGGGGGCUAGCGUUGUUCGGAAUUACUGGGCGUAAAGCGCGCGCAGGUGGUCUUUCAAGUCAGUGGUGAAAGCCCGGAGCUCAACUCCGGAAAUGCCAUUGAAACUGUAAGACUUGAGGAUGAGAGAGGUGAGUGGAAUUCCCAGUGUAGAGGUGAAAUUCGUAGAUAUGGGGAGGAACACCGGUGGCGAAGGCGGCCAUCUGGACGAAGACUGACGCUGAGACGCGAAAGCGUGGGGAGCAAACAGGG
rnacentral:rRNA from 1 species